AACUGAUACUACCUGCGGGAACCUGCGGAGGGAUCAUUACUGAAGAUUAUAGAGUCCUGAGACUGCGUUCAAAAUUGGCGUGUGCUCGGCUCUUACUCUUUUAUCCACACACACCUUUGUGCACCAUGGGGACCGUUAAGAAAGUCCCCCUUUUCACAUAAAAACCAAGUUAUAAUGCAUGGCUUUAUAAUGCUCUACGGAGUAAUAAAAAAACAACUUUUAACAAUGGAUCUCUAGAUC
rnacentral:misc_RNA from 1 species